rnacentral:lncRNA from 1 species
CAUCAAAAAUAUGAAAUACUGGCCAGGCGUUAUGGCUCUUGCCUGUACUCCCAUUGCUUUGGAAGGCUGAGGCGGGUGGAUACCUUUGAGGCCAGGAGUUCAAGACCAUCCUGAGCAACAGGGCAAAACCUUGUCUCUACUAAAAAUACAAAAAAUUAGCUGGGCAUGGUGGCCUGUACCUAUAAUCCCAGCUACUUGGGAGUUUUUAAAGCACAAUAAAAUAUAAACUGCUCUUGAGGUAAAGUGACUUCAAAGCUGUAAUCUGCAGCAAAAGCUCCAAUCCUGCAAGUAGCAGACUCAGGCAGAGGUGACUUCCUAGGCAGAUCCAUGUUUUCUUUCUCUUUACUUGUUACAAAAAAAAAAAAAAAAAAAAGAAAGCCACUAAUCAAAACUUUUAUAAUGCAAUAUGUCAGAUAUAAGCAAUUUUUGCCAAAAGUGUGUCCACUGAAUCUUCAAACUUCUUAGAAAUCAUUUUUUGAAGCCCGGAACUUACUGGUAACAUUACUACCU